rnacentral:rRNA from 1 species
CCUACGGGAGGCAGCAGUCGAGAAUCAUUCACAAUGGGGGAAACCCUGAUGGUGCGACGCCGCGUGGGGGAAUGAAGGUCUUCGGAUUGUAAACCCCUGUCAUGUGGGAGCAAAUUAAAAAGAUAGUACCACAAGAGGAAGAGACGGCUAACUCUGUGCCAGCAGCCGCGGUAAUACAGAGGUCUCAAGCGUUGUUCGGAAUCACUGGGCGUAACGCGUGCGUAGGCUGUUUCGUAAGUCGUGUGUGAAAGGCGCGGGCUCAACCCGCGGACGGCACAUGAUACUGCGAGUCUAGAGUAAUGGAGGGGGAACCGGAAUUCUCGGUGUAGCAGUGGAAUGCGUAGAUAUCGAGAGGAACACUCGUGGCGAAGGCGGGUUCCUGGACAUUAACUGACGCUGAGGCACGAAGGCCAGGGGAGCGAAAGGGAUUAGAUACCCCUGGUAGUC